GCCACUUUUUCAUUUAUGCCUGUUUUGUGUGUAUUUCAUUGCUGUUGUUAAUAUACGCCACCAGGGGGUGCAUGGAGGGGCUUUGUAUGCAGAUUAGAGAUUAGUUUUCUAAGAAGAAGCGAUUUCCAGAGAGAGCUGAUGCAUGUGUCGGUCACAGGUCGGUCACAAAGUUUAAGUAAAGCAAGAAAGAAGAAACCCAAGAAUAAUUCCACUCUAUUCUGGUACUCAGCCAACGAGUUUUCACGGUGUGGUUUAUGAGUCUGAACAAGCAAGAUUCAAUAAAUCCAUCUGUAGAGAAAGCCACUUGUGCCUGUCGUACCUGGGGGAAUUACAGUGAAAACUCGGACUGAUCUGCACGAGUGAAGGCGAGGCGGCGGCAUGAUCAAAGGAGCAGCAGUCUGGCCACAGCGUGAUCAGCGCGUGCACUAAGCCGGGAGCGCGCACAGGACCGAAGCAUGCGGUUUGAAGAGCAACACUUAAGAUAAGGCCAUAAGAAGUUUGGACAUUCACAAGUUAAGGAACUGUCUGAAAAAUAUAAAGCAAGCUUAUGGUUUACUAAUCAAGCGGUAAUCAUUAGUAAAGUUUUUUGUUAUCACUGGGUUUCUGUUAAGCCAUAGUAUAAGUUUAAAGACAUUUGAUAAAAAAAUUAAAAUAUAUAUAUAAUAAUAAUUUAAAGAAAUAAUAAUAAUAGUAAAAAAUAUAUAUAUAA